GUGCCAGCAGCCGCGGUAAUACAGAGAGGGAAAGUGUUGAGCGAAUGGACUAGGCAUAAAAAGCAGGUAGGUUGUUUGUUUGGUUCGAAUUGUAUUUUUUUGACUGUUCAAAAAAGCAUAAAGAAACAAAUAGGCUUGAAUCAUAGUAUGGGCAAGGGAAUGGCCUUAGGACUGGUAGAAUAGGAGCAUAAGGGUUGGAACGUCGAAAGCGAAGGCACUUGCCUGGCUAUGAAUUGACACUGAGCUGCGGAAGUGUGGAGAACAAAUGAGAUUAGAGACCUCAGUAGCCCACACCAUCAACGAUGAGUGCUUUCCAGAUAUUUUUCUGUGAACGCCAAAUGUACAAGCACUCUGCCUGGGGAGUACCGUCGCAAGGCAGAAACUCAAAGGAAUUGACGG
rnacentral:rRNA from 1 species